rnacentral:rRNA from 1 species
UACAGAGGUCCCAAGCGUUGUUCGGAUUCACUGGGCGUAAAGGGUGCGUAGGUGGUGGGGUAAGUCGGAUGUGAAAGCUCGGAGCUCAACUCCGAGAUGGCAUUGGAAACUACCCUGCUAGAGGAUUGGAGGGGGGACUGGAAUACUUGGUGUAGCAGUGAAAUGCGUAGAUAUCAAGUGGAACACCAGUGGCGAAGGCGAGUCCCUGGACAAUACCUGACACUGAGGCACGAAAGCUAGGGGAGCAAACAGG